UACAGAGGUGGCAAGCGUUGUUCGGAAUUACUGGGCGUAAAGGGCGCGUAGGCGGUUUCGUAAGUCCCGUGUGAAAGCCCCCGGCUCAACUGGGGAAUUGCACGGGAAACUGCGAGGCUUGAGUUCGGGAGAGGGAAGCGGAAUUCCGGGUGUAGCGGUGAAAUGCGUAGAUAUCCGGAGGAACACCGGUGGCGAAGGCGGCUUCCUGGACCGACACUGACGCUGAGGCGCGAAAGCUAGGGGAGCAAACGGG
rnacentral:rRNA from 3 species